rnacentral:tRNA from 1 species
GCGCCCGUAGCUCAGCGGAUAGAGCGGUGGACUUCGAAUCCAAAGGUCGGGGGUUCAAAUCCCUCCGGGCGUGCCA